AUACGUAGGUGACAAGCGUUAUCCGGAUUUACUGGGUGUAAAGGGCGUGUAGGCGGUUUGGCAAGUCAGAAGUGAAAUUCCCGGGCUUAACUUGGGCGCUGCUUCUGAAACUGCUUAACUUGAGUGCUGGAGAGGAUAGUGGAAUUCCUAGUGUAGCGGUAAAAUGCGCAGAUAUUAGGAGGAACACCGGUGGCGAAGGCGGCUAUCUGGACAGUAACUGACGCUGAGGCGCGGAAGCACGGGGAGCAAACAGGAUUAGAUACCCUGGUAGUCCGUGCCGUAAACGAUGAAUACUAGGUGUAGGGGGUAUCGACUCCCUCUGUGCCGCAGUUAACACAUUAAGUAUUCCACCUGGGGAGUACGGCCGCAAGGUUGAAACUCAAAGGAAUUGACGGGG
rnacentral:rRNA from 1 species